GCCGUGAUGGUGUAAUGGCAACACUCUACGUUGUGGCCGUAGCGACCCAGGUUCGAUUCCUGGUCACGGCA